ACCUCCUGAAGCCCCUGAUACCGGUUUAUAACGCUGUUAAUGCAGUCAAGAAUUAGACAGAUCAGUGCUUUCAGCAGCGUCGUUAAAAGCUUUGGUUCGUUUGGUUCAAAGAUUGUGACCUAAUUCUCCUCUCAGAGCAGGGAAACUCCAUCCAUAUCACUGGCGCUGCCACUAAUUUAUUAAUUACAGAGACUUGACCGCCCAUGCUGGCGGAAGGAAUCUGACUUGCCUUCCUGAUCUGAGCAGCGAAGCCCUGCUGGCUGGCAAGGAGCCCACUGGGCAGGGAUCAAAGGCUCGUCUGCUUUCACGUUAGUCACAAGGGAAGGGACCGCAUCACCCACGUUACCCCUGCUGAUCCUGCGACAGAAGGAUCUCGGAGCUCUCUUACGACUUACGCAAAGGAGACUAAUUCCCACCACGACCAUUCCGAUGAGAGAGCAGAGCCACCUGCAAUGAGGCCACAGUUAGGAAAGGGAAGACGUUCACAGCAGCAUGAACGUACCUACAGUCUUGUGAAGCCACAUUCCUGACAGGCAGCACGUACAACACAGCAGAAAACACACAACGUACCCA